ACGGAGGAUCCAAGCGUUAUCCGGAUUUAUUGGGUUUAAAGGGUGCGUAGGCGGCUUUUUAAGUCAGGGGUGAAAGACGGUGGCUCAACCAUCGCAGUGCCUUUGAUACUGAAGAGCUUGAUUAAACUUGAGGUAGGCGGAAUGUGACAAGUAGCGGUGAAAUGCAUAGAUAUGUCACAGAACACCGAUUGCGAAGGCAGCUUACUAAGGUUUGAAUGACGCUGAGGCACGAAAGCGUGGGGAUCAAACAGGA
rnacentral:rRNA from 1 species